GGGAAUGUCUGUGGCUCAGUGGCUGAGCAUCUGCUUUGAACGUAUAAGGUCACAGGUUCAAUCCCUGGCUUUUCCA